GUGCUCACUUCGGCAGCACAUAUAUUAAAAUUGGAGUAAGAAGAUUAGCAUGGCCCCUGUGCAAGGAUGACACACAAAUUUGUGAACUGUGCCAUAUUUUU
ensembl:snRNA U6 U6 spliceosomal RNA